ensembl:snRNA U6 U6 spliceosomal RNA
GUUCUCUCUUGUCAGUACAUAUUCUAAAAAUGGAAAGAAAGAGAGAAGAUUAGCUUUGCCCCUCUGCCAAGGUGGUCAUGUAAAUUUGUGAAGCGUGUGCUAUUUUG